rnacentral:rRNA from 1 species
UGGGGAAUUGUUCGCAAUGGGCGCAAGCCUGACGACGCAACGCCGCGUGGAGGAUGAAGAUCUUCGGGUCGUAAACUCCUUUCGAUCGAGACGAAAUCCCUAGGAAUGAACAAUUCCGAGGGUUGACGGUACCGAGAGAAGAAGCCCCGGCUAACUCCGUGCCAGCAGCCGCGGUAAUACGGGGGGGGCAAGCGUUGUUCGGAAUUACUGGGCGUAAAGGGCUCGUAGGUGGCCAACUAAGUCAGACGUGAAAUCCCUCGGCUUAACCGGGGAACUGCGUCUGAUACUGGAUGGCUUGAGAUUGGGAGAGGGACGCGGAAUUCCAGGUGUAGCGGUGAAAUGCGUAGAUAUCUGGAGGAACACCGGUGGCGAAGGCGGCGUCCUGGACCAACACUGACACUGAGGAGCGAAAGCCAGGGGAGCAAACGG